GAGUUUGAUCCUGGCUCAGGAUGAACGCUGGCGGCGUGCUUAACACAUGCAAGUCGAACGGGGGUGCCAUGAACGAAGCAUCAGUUUACUGAUAUGGAGGGAAUGGGACUCUAGUGGCGGACGGGUGAGUAACGCGUGGGUAACCUGCCCCAUACCGGGGGAUAACACUUAGAAAUAGGUGCUAAUACCGCAUAAGCGCACGGUACUGCAUGGUACAGUGUGAAAAACUCCGGUGGUAUGGGAUGGACCCGCGUCUGAUUAGCUUGUUGGCGGGGUAACGGCCCACCAAGGCGACGAUCAGUAGCCGGCCUGAGAGGGUGGACGGCCACAUUGGGACUGAGACACGGCCCAAACUCCUACGGGAGGCAGCAGUGGGGAAUAUUGCACAAUGGGGGAAACCCUGAUGCAGCGACGCCGCGUGAGUGAAGAAGUAUUUCGGUAUGUAAAGCUCUGUCAGCAGGGAAGAAAAUGACGGUACCUGACCAAGAAGCCCCGGCUAACUACGUGCCAGCAGCCGCGGUAAUACGGGGGGUGCAAGCGUUGUCCGGAAUCAUUGGGCGUAAAGAGUUCGUAGGCGGCACGUANAGUCUGGUGUUAAAUGCAGAGGCU
rnacentral:rRNA from 1 species